AGAGUUUGAUCCUGGCUCAGAUUGAACGCUGGCGGCAUGCUUUACACAUGCAAGUCGAACGGCAGCACAGGGAGCUUGCUCCCGGGUGGCGAGUGGCGCACGGGUGAGUAAUACAUCGGAACGUGUCCUGUUGUGGGGGAUAACUGCUCGAAAGGGUGGCUAAUACCGCAUGAGACCUGAGGGUGAAAGCGGGGGAUCGCAAGACCUCGCGCAAUUGGAGCGGCCGAUGCCCGAUUAGCUAGUUGGUGAGGUAAAGGCUCACCAAGGCGACGAUCGGUAGCUGGUCUGAGAGGACGACCAGCCACACUGGGACUGAGACACGGCCCAGACUCCUACGGGAGGCAGCAGUGGGGAAUUUUGGACAAUGGGGGCAACCCUGAUCCAGCCAUGCCGCGUGCAGGAUGAAGGCCUUCGGGUUGUAAACUGCUUUUGUCAGGGACGAAAAGGACCGUGUUAAUACCAUGGUCUGCUGACGGUACCUGAAGAAUAAGCACCGGCUAACUACGUGCCAGCAGCCGCGGUAAUACGUAGGGUGCAAGCGUUAUCCGGAAUUAUUGGGCGUAAAGGGCUCGUAGGCGGUUCGUCGCGUCCGGUGUGAAAGUCCAUCGCUUAACGGUGGAUCCGCGCCGGGUACGGGCGGGCUUGAGUGCGGUAGGGGAGACUGGAAUUCCCGGUGUAACGGUGGAAUGUGUAGAUAUCGGGAAGAACACCGAUGGCGAAGGCAGGUCUCUGGGCCGUCACUGACGCUGAGGAGCGAAAGCGUGGGGAGCGAACAGGAUUAGAUACCCUGGUAGUCCACGCCGUAAACGGUGGAUGCUGGAUGUGGGGACCAUUCCACGGUCUCCGUGUCGGAGCCAACGCGUUAAGCAUCCCGCCUGGGGAGUACGGCCGCAAGGCUAAAACUCAAAGAAAUUGACGGGGGCCCGCACAAGCGGCGGAGCAUGCGGAUUAAUUCGAUGCAACGCGAAGAACCUUACCUGGGCUUGACAUGUUCCCGACAGCCGUAGAGAUACGGUCUCCCUUCGGGGCGGGUUCACAGGUGGUGCAUGGUCGUCGUCAGCUCGUGUCGUGAGAUGUUGGGUUAAGUCCCGCAACGAGCGCAACCCUCGCCCUGUGUUGCCAGCACGUCGUGGUGGGAACUCACGGGGGACCGCCGGGGUCAACUCGGAGGAAGGUGGGGAUGACGUCAGAUCAUCAUGCCCCUUACGUCCAGGGCUUCACGCAUGCUACAAUGGCCGGUACAACGGGAUGCGACACCGUGAGGUGGAGCGGAUCCCUUAAAACCGGUCUCAGUUCGGAUUGGAGUCUGCAACCCGACUCCAUGAAGGCGGAGUCGCUAGUAAUCGCGGAUCAGCAACGCCGCGGUGAAUGCGUUCCCGGGCCUUGUACACACCGCCCGUCAAGUCAUGAAAGUGGGUAGCACCCGAAGCCGGUGGCCCAACCUUUUGGGGGGAGCCGUCUAAGGUGAGACUCGUGAUUGGGACUAAGUCGUAACAAGGUAGCCGUACCGGAAGGUGCGGCUG
rnacentral:rRNA from 1 species